CAGUAGCCGCGGUAAUACAGAGGGUGCGAGCGUUAAUCGGAUUUACUGGGCGUAAAGCGUGCGUAGGCGGCUAAUUGAGUCGGAUGUGAAAUCCCCGAGCUUAACUUGGGAAUUGCAUUCGAUACUGGUUAGCUAGAGUGUGGGAGAGGAUGGUAGAAUUCCAGGUGUAGCGGUGAAAUGCGUAGAGAUCUGGAGGAAUACCGAUGGCGAAGGCAGCCAUCUGGCCUAACACUGACGCUGAGGUACGAAAGCAUGGGGAGCAAACAGGAUUAGAUACCCGGGUAGUCCCUGUCUCUUAUCC
rnacentral:rRNA from 1 species